GGGGAAAGAGCUCAGUGGUGCAGUGCCUGCCUGGUAAACACAAGGUCCUGAGUUCAAUUCCCAGUAUCUCCC
rnacentral:tRNA from 1 species